GGCUCAGGACGAACGCUGGCGGCGUGCUUAACACAUGCAAGUCGAGCGGUAAGGCCCUUCGGGGUACACGAGCGGCGAACGGGUGAGUAACACGUGGGUGAUCUGCCUCGCACUCUGGGAUAAGCCUGGGAAACUGGGUCUAAUACCGGAUAUGAACAUGGUCUGCAUGGAUUGUGUUGGAAAGGUUUACUGGUGCGAGAUGGGCCCGCGGCCUAUCAGCUUGUUGGUGGGGUAAUGGCCUACCAAGGCGACGACGGGUAGCCGACCUGAGAGGGUGACCGGCCACACUGGGACUGAGACACGGCCCAGACUCCUACGGGAGGCAGCAGUGGGGAAUAUUGCACAAUGGGCGAAAGCCUGAUGCAGCGACGCCGCGUGAGGGAUGACGGCCUUCGGGUUGUAAACCUCUUUCGACAGGGACGAAGCGCAAGUGACGGUACCUGUAGAAGAAGCACCGGCCAACUACGUGCCAGCAGCCGCGGUAAUACGUAGGGUGCGAGCGUUGUCCGGAAUUACUGGGCGUAAAGAGCUUGUAGGCGGUCUGUCACGUCGAUUGUGAAAACUUGGGGCUCAACCCUAAGCUUGCAGUCGAUACGGGCAGACUAGAGUACUUCAGGGGAGACUGGAAUUCCUGGUGUAGCGGUGAAAUGCGCAGAUAUCAGGAG
rnacentral:rRNA from 1 species